rnacentral:rRNA from 1 species
UGGGGGAAUUUUGGGACAAUGGGGGGAAACCCUGAUCCAGCCAUCCCGCGUGUGCGAUGAAGGCCUUCGGGUUGUAAAGCACUUUUGGCAGGAAAGAAACGUCGCGGGUUAAUACCCCGAAACUGACGGUACCUGCAGAAUAAGCACCGGCUAACUACGUGCCAGCAGCCGCGGUAAUACGUAGGGUGCAAGCGUUAAUCGGAAUUACUGGGGCGUAAAGCGUGCGCAGGCGGUUCGGAAAGAAAGAUGUGAAAUCCCAGAGCUUAACUUUGGAACUGCGUUUUUAACUACCGGGCUAGAGUGUGUCAGAGGGAGGUGGAAUUCCGCGUGUAGCAGUGAAAUGCGUAGAUAUGCGGAGGAACACCGAUGGCGAAGGCAGCCUCCUGGGAUAACACUGACGCUCAUGCACGAAAGCGUGGGGAGCAAACAGGAUUAGAUACCCUGGUAGUCCACGCCCUAAACGAUGUCAACUAGCUGUUGGGGCUUCGGCCUUGGUAGCGCAGCUAACGCG